rnacentral:rRNA from 1 species
CCUACGGGAGGCAGCAGUAGGGAAUUUUCGUCAAUGGGCGCAAGCCUGAACGAGCAAUGCCGCGUGAACGAGGAAGGUCUUCGGAUCGUAAAGUUCUGUUGAAGGGGAAAAAGAGCGGAAAGAGGAAAUGGUCUCCGAUUGAUAUUACCCUUCGAGGAAGUCACGGCUAACUACGUGCCAGCAGCCGCGGUAAUACGUAGGUGGCGAGGGUUAUCCGGAAUGAUUGGGCGUAAAGGGUGCGUAGGCGGCCUGCUAAGUCUGGAGUGAAAGGUACCGGCUCAACCGGUACAGGCUCUUGAAACUGGCGGGCUAGAGAGCAGGAGAGGGCGGUGGAACUCCAUGUGUAGCGGUAAAAUGCGUAGAUAUAUGGAAGAACACCAGUGGCGAAGGCGGCCGCCUGGCCUGUUACUGACGCUGAGGCACGAAAGCGUGGGGAGCAAAUAGGAUUAGAUACCCUAGUAGUC